UACGCUGUUAUCCCUAAAGUAACUUAUACUUUUAAUCCUUAAAAAAGGAUCAAUAAUCUAUUUAUAAAUAUUUAAUUUAUCAAACAGUUAAAAAUUUUAUUGGGGCCGCCCCAGCCAAACAACUUAUAUUUAAUUCCAUUUAAUAUAAAUUUAAAAACUAAAGUUCACUUGUAAAGUUUUAUAGGGUCUUAUCGUCCCUUCAGUUUAUUUAAGCCUUUUCACUUAAAAGUAAAGUUUAAAUUACACCAGUAAGACAGCUGCCCUUUUGUUCAACCAUUCAUUCCAGCCUCCAAUUAAGAG
rnacentral:rRNA from 1 species